GGAUGUGAGGGUAAUCUGGCUGCGACAUCUGUCACCUCAUUGAUCGCCAGGGUUGAUUCCGCCUACCUGGCUGGCUAGGCGGGUGUCCCCUUCCUCCCUCACCUCUCCAUGUGCGUCCUUCUGGAAGCUGCAUGCUCAGUCAAAGAGGAUGGCCUUCCCUGAAUAGAGACAGACCUGGUUUUCAGUCAAGGGUAUAGGAGUAGCUGCGCUCCCCUGCUAGAACCUCCAAACAAGCUCUCAAGGAACUGGGAUGCGCAUUAGCACACUUUCUUUAUAACUGAGAUGCGGGUUGGUGGA
rnacentral:snRNA from 1 species